rnacentral:rRNA from 1 species
UACGUAGGUGGCAAGCGUUGUCCGGAAUUAUUGGGCGUAAAGCGCGCGCAGGCGGUUCCUUAAGUCUGAUGUGAAAGCCCACGGCUCAACCGUGGAGGGUCAUUGGAAACUGGGGGACUUGAGUGCAGAAGAGGAGAGCGGAAUUCCACGUGUAGCGGUGAAAUGCGUAGAGAUGUGGAGGAACACCAGUGGCGAAGGCGGCUCUCUGGUCUGUAACUGACGCUGAGGUGCGAAAGCGUGGGGAGCGAACGGG